GCUGGGUGUGGUGGCUCACGCCUGUAAUCCCAGCACUUUGGGAGGCCGAGGUGGGUGGAUCACCUGAGGUCAGGAGUUCGAGACCAGCCUGACCAACAUGGAGAAACCCCAUCUCUA
ensembl:misc_RNA Metazoa_SRP Metazoan signal recognition particle RNA